rnacentral:rRNA from 1 species
UACGUAGGGCGCGAGCGUUAAUCGGAAUUACUGGGCGUAAAGCGUGCGCAGGCGGUUCGUUAAGUUCGAUGUGAAAGCCCCGGGCUCAACCUGGGAACUGCAUUGGAAACUGGCGAGCUUGAAUGCGGCAGAGGGGGGUGGAAUUCCGCGUGUAGCAGUGAAAUGCGUAGAGAUGCGGAGGAACACCGAUGGCGAAGGCAGCCCCCUGGGCCGACAUUGACGCUCAGGCACGAAAGCGUGGGGAGCAAACAGG